rnacentral:rRNA from 1 species
GUCUGAUGUGAAAGCCCCCGGCUCAACCGGGGAGGGUCAUUGGAAACUGGGGAACUUGAGUGCAGAAGAGAAGAGUGGAAUUCCACGUGUAGCGGUGAAAUGCGUAGAGAUGUGGAGGAACACCAGUGGCGAAGGCGACUCUUAGGUCUGUAACUGACGCUGAGGCGCGAAAGCGUGGGGAGCAAACAGGAUUAGAUUCCCUGGUAGUCCACGCCGUAAACGAUGAGUGCUAAGUGUUAGAGGGUUUCCGCCCUUUAGUGCUGCAGCAAACGCAUUAAGCACUCCGCCUGGGGAGUACGGCCGCAAGGCUGAAACUCAAAGGAAUUGACGGGGGCCCGCACAAGCGGUGGAGCAUGUGGUUUAAUUCGAAGCAACGCGAAGAACCUUACCAGGUCUUGACAUCUCCUGACAACCCUAGAGAUAGGGCGUUCCCCUUCGGGGGACAGGAUGACAGGUGGUGCAUGGUUGUCGUCAGCUCGUGUCGUGAGAUGUUGGGUUAAGUCCCGCAACGGGCGCAACCCUUGAUCUUAGUUGCCAGCAUUCAGUUGGGCACUCUAAGGUGACUGCCGGUGACAAACCGGAGGAAGGUGGGGAUGACGUCAAAUCAUCAUGCCCCUUAUGACCUGGGCUACACACGUGCUACAAUGGAUGGUACAAAGGGCUGCGAGACCGCGAGGUUAAGCGAAUCCCAUAAAACCAUUCUCAGUUCGGAUUGCAGGCUGCAACUC